rnacentral:rRNA from 1 species
AAUACACUGGCGGCGGCUAACACAUGCAGUCGAGCGGUAGAGAGAAGCUUGCUUCUCUUGAGAGCGGCGGACGGGUGAGUAAUGCCUAGGAAUCUGCCUGGUAGUGGGGGAUAACGCUCGGAAACGGACGCUAAUACCGCAUACGUCCUACGGGAGAAAGCAGGGGACCUUCGGGCCUUGCGCUAUCAGAUGAGCCUAGGUCGGAUUAGCUAGUUGGUGAGGUAAUGGCUCACCAAGGCGACGAUCCGUAACUGGUCUGAGAGGAUGAUCAGUCACACUGGAACUGAGACACGGUCCAGACUCCUACGGGAGGCAGCAGUGGGGAAUAUUGGACAAUGGGCGAAAGCCUGAUCCAGCCAUGCCGCGUGUGUGAAGAAGGUCUUCGGAUUGUAAAGCACUUUAAGUUGGGAGGAAGGGCAUUAACCUAAUACGUUAGUGUUUUGACGUUACCGACAGAAUAGGCACCGGCUAACUCUGUGCCAGCAGCCGCGGUAAU